UACGUAGGGGGCAAGCGUUGUCCGGAAUUAUUGGGCGUAAAGAGCGUGUAGGCGGUCCUGUAAGUCCGCUGUGAAAGUCAAGGGCUCAACCCUUGAAUGCCGGUGGAUACUGCAGGACUAGAGUCCGGAAGAGGCGAGUGGAAUUCCUGGUGUAGCGGUGAAAUGCGCAGAUAUCAGGAGGAACACCGGUGGCGAAGGCGGGUCUCUGGGCCGAUGACUGACGCUGAGGAGCGAAAGCGUGGGGAGCGAACAGG
rnacentral:rRNA from 1 species